CACAAAUAUGAAGGCGGGCUGGAACCUCUCGGGGUUACAGCCUUGCUGAAUUAUUCACCCUUGUCUUUUGCGUACUUCUUGUUUCCUUGGUGGGUUCGCCCACCACUAGGGACAAAACAUAAAACCUUUUGUAAUUGCAAUCAGCGUCAGUAACAAAUUAAUAAUUA
rnacentral:misc_RNA from 1 species